rnacentral:miRNA from 1 species
AUACAGUACUGCAGAGGAUCCUAA